CAGCCGCCGCGGUAAUACGUAGGUGGCAAGCGUUGUCCGGAAUUAUUGGGCGUAAAGGGCUCGCAGGCGGUUUCUUAAGUCUGAUGUGAAAGCCCCCGGCUCAACCGGGGAGGGUCAUUGGAAACUGGGAAACUUGAGUGCAGAAGAGGAGAGUGGAAUUCCACGUGUAGCGGUGAAAUGCGUAGAGAUGUGGAGGAACACCAGUGGCGAAGGCUACUCUCUGGUCUGUAACUGACGCUGAGGAGCGAAAGCGUGGGGAGCGAACAGGAUUAGAUACCCGGGUAGUCCCUGUCUCUUAUAC
rnacentral:rRNA from 1 species